UACGUAGGCAGCGAGCGUUGUUCGGAAUUACUGGGCGUAAAGGGUGUGUAGGCGGGUCUUUAAGUUUGGUGUGAAAUCUUCCGGCUCAACUGGGAGGGUGCGCCGAAUACUGAGGGACUAGAGUGCGGGAGAGGAAAGUGGAAUUCCUGGUGUAGCGGUGAAAUGCGCAGAUAUCAGGAAGAACACCCGUGGCGAAGGCGGCUCUCUGGAACGCAACUGACGCUGAGACGCGAAAGCGUGGGGAGCAAACAGG
rnacentral:rRNA from 1 species